rnacentral:rRNA from 1 species
CCUACGGGAGGCAGCAGUGGGGAAUAUUGGACAAUGGGCGAAAGCCUGAUCCAGCAAUGCCGCGUGAGUGAUGAAGGCCUUCGGGUCGUAAAGCUCUUUUACCAGGGAUGAUAAUGACAGUACCUGGAGAAUAAGCUCCGGCUAACUCCGUGCCAGCAGCCGCGGUAAUACGGAGGGAGCUAGCGUUGUUCGGAAUUACUGGGCGUAAAGAGUACGUAGGCGGUUAUUCAAGUCAGAGGUGAAAGCCCGGGGCUCAACCCCGGAACUGCCUUUGAAACUAGAUAACUAGAGUCUUGGAGAGGUUAGUGGAAUUCCGAGUGUAGAGGUGAAAUUCGUAGAUAUUCGGAAGAACACCAGUGGCGAAGGCGACUAACUGGACAAGUACUGACGCUGAGGUACGAAAGCGUGGGGAGCAAACAGGAUUAGAUACCCUGGUAGUCCACGCCGUAAAACGAUGAUAACUAGUUGUUCGGUCACUUGGUGACUGAGUGACGCAGCUAACGCAUUAAGUUAUCCGCCUGGGGAGUACGGUCGCAAGAUUAAAACUCAAAGGAAUUGACGG